UACGAAGGGUGCAAGCGUUACUCGGAAUUACUGGGCGUAAAGCGUGCGUAGGCGGUUUGUUAAGUCCGUUGUGAAAGCCCUGGGCUCAACCUGGGAAUUGCAUUGGAUACUGGCAGGCUAGAGUGCGGUAGAGGGUAGUGGAAUUCCCGGUGUAGCAGUGAAAUGCGUAGAGAUCGGGAGGAACAUCCGUGGCGAAGGCGACUACCUGGACCAGCACUGACACUGAGGCACGAAAAGCGUGGGGGAGCGA
rnacentral:rRNA from 1 species